rnacentral:lncRNA from 1 species
CUUUCGUCAGAUUCCUAUGCUCAGCCCACCUUCAAAGUAAAGUAAGUAACACUUAGGAAAUGCACACAAAGAAGCUCGGCCACGAGGCAGAAAAGCCUGCAUUUAAACAUGAGUCUCUCACGACAGCCAAAUCAAAACAAAUGCAGAAAGAAGUGUAUAUUUCCCAGUGAUGAUUCAGGACAUAAGUUUACUUUAGUAAAUGGUGCCAGUCAUUUUAAAAUUUACCCAUUUCUUGUGUUCAUACUCCAAACAAAGAGGAAAGCAGAAUUUUAAGUGAAGCGUUGUGUACAUCCUCUGAAUUAAUGAUACAAUUAUACUAAAAGCUUUUUUUUAGGAUUUUCAUUUCCAUCCUGCAUGCACUGACUGCAGCACUAUAGGCACGUUCCCCUCUCAAAAAAAGGAAAAUCUUUGCAAUUUCCCAGUCCUAAGAUUGCUUCUUUCACUGGUUCUCUGUAGCCUCAGUAUAGUUCAGCAUCCUCUGCUGUUUUUUCAAUGACCUGAAGCAUUGUUAGACCCUAAUAAUACCUGUUCUCAUGCAGACUGCUGCUUUUUCCGCUGGGGAAAGGAGAGGAACUGAUGGAAUGAGAUACCAAUUAUACCAAUUCUCUCUACUGAUACUGUCAACAGCUGAUGUACCAACAAAAGGCCAAAACAUCAGAGGCAGAUAUUGGUGGUAUGUCAGUAGAGGCUGAACCUGACCAACAGUACUCCAUUCCAUGUUGUUGCUGUGUGACAGAUGGCAGCAGAGGGGCCUGACAAAAUGGCGUCUGACAUGGAAAUGUGUGCAAAGCAAAG